UGCCAGAGAGUUAAAAAUCUUUGGAUGGAGAUGUUGGCAUUUGGCUACAAUCAAAAGUGGUGCAGAAGACCUGGAGACCUGUGUCAGCAGCUUUAUCUUACACCGGGUUGGCCAUUUGCCUUUCAGACUAGGAUGAGGUGGUCUCACAGAAAAAUAAGAGGAAGCAUUUAUUCCACUGAACCUUUUCCCGUGUUUAGCACUGCGAACUGCAUGAAAAAUAAGCCUGCUUCCCGUGCUGCUGGUGGAAAACAUCUGAAAACGUCAAGGGUGUGGAGAAAAAAACCAGCCCAGGAAUUCAACUUCUUUUCUACCUGGCUGUUAAGCCCUCAGUAAAAAGUCUCUCAUGAAAGUGGAGAACUUCCACAGAAACAGAUGAGGAAAUACAGGAGGAAGUGCAAUUACAAACACAUCAGCAAACAUAUCCAGUUUUUGCAAGGUCAGGACUCCAGUAUACCAGGAGACUGGCAGAUUCCCAAUACAAAGAUACUCCCCACCUUGGAGAACUUGUGAUCUGAAAGUCAGACAAGAAGCUCUGAACAGAGACACAGCUAAAUUCUUCUUGGGGAAAAAAAAAAAAAUUGCUCUUUCAUGUGGAUUCUCAUACUCUUUCCAUGUGUCUUGCCUGUGGAAGGAUCUGGCCUUAACUGUCCAUGGGCAAAGAAACAGCCGGUUUCAUCGCUGCCCCACACUCAUGUCUGUCUUCCAAGGGGGAGAAGAAACCUUUCCUGGUGAUGGAUGGAGGUGACCUAAAACUCACUGAAAGCUUUUGUGCUAGCAAGACUGGCUUUCUCUAUAAGGAACUCUAGAGGACAGGAUUUAUUCCAUCUUAUGUUUAAAAAGCAAAGUGGACUGAAGCAGCACUUGUUUCCCCUCUGGCUGCUUGUUCCUGCCCUGCAGCAGCUCCUAGUUGACUGAGCAGGGCUUUGAUCACCCGGGAGUCCAUCGCCCCAAAGAGUAAUCUUUACCUUGGUUUUGCUUUGCUAUAUUUGAGCUGAAUUGGUUUCUCCAUCUGCAAAUGGAUCCUUCAUUCAUGGAUCCUUUUCUAGAGGCACUGAGUUGUUGUUGGUUUAUUGCUGCAUUCCGUUUGUCUUCAGGUGGCAGAUUUCUUCCAGUUUUUAUCUACCAACCAUAAGAAAGCUAAUAAUGUAUAGAUCAUGUAUAGGUGAUAAGCAAAGUAAGCUGUUGUGUAAAUUACUUUUUACUGGAAAAUCAGUAAGAAUCUUGAAAAUUCUGGCCACCUGUAUUUCUUUCUGAGAGGCAGAUAAGGCGUAGGAUGGUAAUCUGUAGAUUAAAAAGCCAGGGAGUUGACUGACUAAUAUUACAGUUACAAUUACGGUGCAUCAAAGUGAAUCUAUGUUAAAAGUGGUCUACCAUGGAGAUCCCUUCCCUUGGCCUGUUGAAUGCAAGUACAUCUCAGGAUAUGAGUUCUUCUCAAGAUGAAUUAAGGGUGAUGCCAUUUCCUGGUCU